GGAGCUGUGGUUCAGUGGUAGAACAUCUGCUUUGCGUGCAGAUGGUACCGGGUUCAAUCCCCGGCAUCUCCA